CGAAAGAAGGGUGACGACGACGAGCAACAGAGAUACUGCGGGCUGAGAGUGUUGACCGCGAGUCAAAGGACGUCAGUCAGGCUGAUAACCAGACCAAUAUGGGUUCCUAGCAGAUGGACCAAGCCUGCUCCCAGUCCCGCUGUCGACAAAAGUGGCUUCAGCGAGUGUGUGACCAACUGAGCCAGGACGUACAGCAGAUGUUCCCAACCUUUGGGAAGUGAACCCUUGCUUGGUGGCCAACGACCUCACAUUUGGACGACCACUCGGAGUCUGGGAACAGUCACCGAGUGUGCAUGCUAAUCGCCACAGAAAUUGUUUAUGCUGGUAUAAUAGCUUGUGCUUGCGCUUGUGCUGUAGGGGCUGUGGGGAAGAGCUUACUAGGGGAAUUUGGAAUGUAGACGAGCGAGGUAGUUUAUGCCGAGAAUGUUAUCAAGUGCCUGAGACAAGACGUUUUAGGCAGUGUGCGUCUAUCGUGCUCAGAAUUCCACCACAACAGAUAAGAGUUAGCUCAUUCAGGGAUCCACAUGAGUUUUUACUAAGCUUGGAAGUGUGGGCAGGGAAGGAAGCCAUCAGACGUCUGCAAGUGAGUAGAAAGACCACUGUAACCCAGGCAUGGUGCCCUACAUGUGGCUCCUCCUCUCAAGUACUUUCACCCUGAGUAAAGCUGUGAUAACUUCAGUGUCAGAAAGAGAAAAUGUGUGGGUAACAUGGGCUCACCAGGCGAACCAGACAGACUUCUGUCUGGCCAUGGGGUCGGCAGCAGAUCCAUUUCGCACAUGUCUAAUUGGCGUGCCAUGGAUCUCACUCGAGGACACGUUUCAAAAAUGGGUGACAGAUAUAGGGAAAAUCAAUGAGGAAGUGGAGCAACAAAUGCAAAACAAACUGGGGCGAGUGCUUAGGUUGUUGGUCUAGUUAUCGGCACUCCUUGCAGCAAACCCGUAUUAUUGCCAAUUUAACAAAAAAUGCAACCUUGCCUCUUCAAGAGCUACAGCUUUAUGGGUCCCUCUUUCCCAGUAUGCUUGUUAAUGUAACACCAUGGACCAACUGUUCCAAUGUGGUGCCUCCAAUGCAAUAUGCCAACAGGUCUGGGGUUUUCUUCUUUGGAGAUCCUUGGAAGGACUAUCAGGCAUGACAGGGCAUGGCCUCCUUUCCAUGGAAACAGAACGUAUCAGGACACUCCAUCGGAGGCUGGAACAUGCCGGCCACGUUGGGAGGAGCUGAGUCUAUUGACACAAUGGGAGGAAAGGUUUUACCUCCUGGAAUGUUUUUGAUAUGCGGAGAUAGAGCAUGGAAUGGGAUUCCGCAUAGUCCAAUUGGGGGUCCUUGCUACCUGGGAAAGCUAACUAUGUUUGCCCCUUCUAUACGAGCAUGGAAGAACAUUACGGCAUCAGAAAGUUGGAAAAAUAGGAUGUGAAAUAGAUACCAGCGUAGUGUUUCCACGUUUGAUAAAGAUUGUAAUGAUAAGGUAAACAUUAUGAGUUUGAGUGCAUUUAUACCAUUGGCUAUUUUUAACCCAGGGGGUGCUGCAGCUCAUGGCUAUAGCAGUCUGAAAAAGUUGGCCUGUUGGUCAGAAAAGGAAUUUAAUAGGACUUCCCAUAUAUUAAAUGAGCUUUUAACUGAUGUAGAUAGCAUUAGGCAUGCUGUACUACAAAAUCGAGCUGUGAUUGAUUUUUUAUUGCUAGCUCAUGGCCAUGGUUGCAAAGAGUUUGAAGGUAUGUGUUGUAUGAACCUGUCAGACCAUUCCCAGAAUAUCCAUCAACAGCUCUCAGAACUGCAAGAUGCUUUUCAAAAGAUACAGAUCCAUACAGACAGCUUCUCUUGAGUGGCUGUCCUUGCUUGGUCUGACAGGGUGGUUAGGAAACCUGGUUCAAGAAGGUUUACGUCUGCUAGCUACACUAUUAAUUGUGGCAAUAAUAAUUUGUUGUUGUUUGGGGUGCAUACGGAAAGCUUUAGAGAAAGUUGUUAAUUGGGCUUGGCUUGUGCAAGAAGAAAAAGGGGAAAUUGUAGAGAAAUGGCUGAGUGAACAGGGACAUGUAUACGUGCACAAUCCAAGCUAUGUUAGUGAACUGUCCUUGACUAGG